rnacentral:rRNA from 1 species
UACGGAGGAUGCGAGCGUUAUCCGGAUUUAUUGGGUUUAAAGGGUGCCUAGGCGGGAUGCCAAGUCAGCGGUAAAAAUGCGGUGCUCAACGCCGUCGAGCCGUUGAAACUGGCGUUCUUGAGUGGGCGAGAAGUAUGCGGAAUGCGUGGUGUAGCGGUGAAAUGCAUAGAUAUCACGCAGAACUCCGAUUGCGAAGGCGGCAUACCGGCGCCCUACUGACGCUGAGGCACGAAAGCGUGGGUAUCGAACAGG